rnacentral:rRNA from 1 species
UACCUUUUGUAUUAGGGACAAAAGAUUAUAUAAAAUUUUUAUAUCUCGAAGUUUUAAGAUCUAUUUAAAUUAUUUUAGCUGUUGAAUUUUUAAAAAUUAAAAUAGGAGUUAUACGCUUACGCUUAUCUAUAUCUAGUUUUUUUGAAAAAAGGGGGGAAAAGCUCUCUUAUUCUCUUUAUUAAAUGGGUUUUUUUAUAUUAUUAAAAGUUUUUAUAUUGUGUAUAAACUAAUCUUUUAUGAUUAAAAUAUAAGGAAAAAAUAAUUUCUUUUAAUAAAAAUAUAUUAUGAUUUUUGUAUUAGUAGAAAAACUAAGUUUUUAAUUUUUUUUUUAUUUAAUUAUAAAUUUUUAUAUAUAACUAAAAAAAGUCUAAAAGAAUGUUUAUCAAAGUCUUUUUUAAAGAAAUCUUUAAAAGCCCCUGCCCUAUGUAAAACUUAAUGGCCAUGGUAAUUUGACUAUGCUAAGGUAGCGAAAUCGUUAGAAUUUUUAUUGAAUUCCAGUAUGAGUGAGGUCUCUUUCAUUCUUUUUUAAAUAAUUUUCUAUUAAAUUUAAUUUUUAUUUGAAAACUUUUUAAAGGAUUAAAAAAGACUAAAAGACCCUUGGAUUUUUAAAAGGAGAAUUUUAUUUUCUUUUAGUGAAGAAAAAUUUAUCUUUUUUUGCUUGGGGCAAGUUUUUAUAUAAAUUUAAUUUAAAGUAUAUAAAAAACUAAAAUUUUAAAAUGUAAAAAUACCCAAGGGAUAACAGCGUAAUCGCCUUUGGUAGAUCUUAUAUAAAAGGUUUCUUACGACCUCGAUGUUGGUUUGUUUUACCUAUUUGGAGCAGAAAAUAAAUUAGGUAGUCUGUUCGACUAUUAAAAAAACACAUGAACUGAGUUCAAGUCGGCGUAAGCCAGACUGGAUUUUAUCUUUUUAAAUUUGAAAAUUUUUUAGUACGAGAGGACCAAUAAUUUUUCUUUUAG